GUGGUUGUGGCUCUGCGGUAGAACAUCUGCUCAACAUGCAAAAGGUCUCUGGUUCAAUCCCGGUCAUCUCCA
rnacentral:tRNA from 1 species